AGAGUUUGAUUCUGGCUCAGGAUAAACGCUGGCGGCGUGGUUAAGACAUGCAAGUCGAACGAAGGCUUCGGCCUUAGUGGCGCACGGGUGCGUAACGCGUGGGAACCUUCCCUAUGGUUCGGAAUAACGCGCCGAAAGGCGUGCUAAUACCGGGUAAGCCCGCAAGGGGAAAGAUUUAUCGCCAUAGGAUGGGCCCGCGUAGGAUUAGCUAGUUGGUGAGGUAAUGGCUCACCAAGGCGACGAUCCUUAGCUGGUCUGAGAGGAUGAUCAGCCACACUGGGACUGAGACACGGCCCAGACUCCUACGGGAGGCAGCAGUGGGGAAUAUUGGACAAUGGGCGAAAGCCUGAUCCAGCAGCCGCGUGAGUGAUGAAGGCCUUAGGGUUGUAAAGCUCUUUUACCCGGGAUGAUAAUGACAGUACCGGGAGAAUAAGCUCCGGCUAACUCCGUGCCAGCAGCCGCGGUAAU
rnacentral:rRNA from 1 species